AGAGUUUGAUCCUGGCUCAGAUUGAACGCUGGCGGCAUGCCUUACACAUGCAAGUCGAACGGUAACGCGGGGCAACCUGGCGACGAGUGGCGAACGGGUGAGUAAUGUAUCGGAACGUGCCCAGUUGUGGGGGAUAACUGCUCGAAAGAGCAGCUAAUACCGCAUACGACCUGAGGGUGAAAGCGGGGGAUCGCAAGACCUCGCGCAGUUGGAGCGGCCGAUAUCAGAUUAGGUAGUUGGUGGGGUAAAGGCUCACCAAGCCAACGAUCUGUAGCUGGUCUGAGAGGACGACCAGCCACACUGGGACUGAGACACGGCCCAGACUCCUACGGGAGGCAGCAGUGGGGAAUUUUGGACAAUGGGGGCAACCCUGAUCCAGCCAUGCCGCGUGCGGGAAGAAGGCCUUCGGGUUGUAAACCGCUUUUGUCAGGGAAGAAAAGACUCCUGUUAAUACCGGGGGUUCAUGACGGUACCUGAAGAAUAAGCACCGGCUAACUACGUGCCAGCAGCCGCGGUAAUACGUA
rnacentral:rRNA from 1 species